CCAGGGCUCGGUCACUCAGGCACAGCUGGCUGCCGGCGGAGCUCACGGGCACGUCACUGCAACCCCCCCGGCUUCUGCUCCGCGGCUGCUGAGUGACCCCUCAUCUGGGACUGUCCUCAGCUCUUUCUGGGAUAGUGACGCGGCUGCCCCUCUGUUGGUCUUCCUUGGUCUCUUGUGUUCUGGGGGCCUCUGGAUGUCUGGAGUUUUGAUCUCCUCCAUACCUGCUUCAUGCCCUGGAGGACGGGGCAGUGGCCCCCCACACCCUCUAGCAGAUCAUUACAUGAAGGAACCUUUUAAAAACAAGCGCGUUCAUGCUCACAGGCCUCAUCCUGCCGCACAUAUGUGUGCACCAGGACAUGCCAGGAACAGGAAACACAAGAGAGUCAGCCAUCCAAGCUUCACAGGGCCCGAAUCAGCUGAACCCAUAUUCAGCCCACCGCUGCCUCCAAAUCUCCUCCUCCUCUCCUCCGCCUGCUGGGACCAGUAGGCAGCGCAUCGCCUGCUACUGGGACCUUUCGGCAGCAGCAGCCAGUGUGCACCAGGACAUGCCAGGAACAGGAAACACAAGAGAGUCAGCCAUCCAAGCUUCACAGGGCCCGAAUCAGCUGAACCCAUAUUCAGCCCACCGCUGCCUCCAAAUCUCCUCCUCCUCUCCUCCGCCUGCUGGGACCAGUAGGCAGCGCAUCGCCUGCUACUGGGACCUUUCGGCAGCAGCAGCCAGAAUACCUGUCUCCAGCUCUCCCUCCUAGGUCAACAAAGGCACCCAUCUGCUGCUGCUGCCCCUUUGAGAUGGCAGCAUCCUGGGAGAAACGGAACCUGCUUGACUUCCAGGUGUGAGAACUUGCAAGUGUCCAGAAUCAGGAGAGAUUGGGGGACCCACUUUAGCAGGAUCAUCUGUGAAUAGACUGGAUAGAAAUAAGUUCUUCUUCUAUCAGUUAUUAUUUAUUCUGUUCAUUAUAGAAUCAGCUACUGUUCUGCCA
ensembl:lncRNA